CAGGUUGAAGCGAGGGUAAAACCUCGUGGAGGACCGAACCACGUUGCUGUUGAAAAAGCAUGGGAUGAGCUGUGGAUAGCGGAGAAAUUCCAAUCGAACCCGGAGAUAGCUGGUUCUCUCCGAAAUAGCUUUAGGGCUAGCGUCGAGUAUGAGUAGUGGAGGUAGAGCACUGAAUGGGCUAGGGGGCAUAGCGCUUACCGAACCUUAUCAAACUCCGAAUGCCACAUACUUUGAGCUCGGCAGUCAGACUACGAAUGAUAAGAUCCGUGGUCAAAAGGGAAACAGCCCAGAUCGUCAGCUAAGGUCCCAAAGUGUAAGUUAAGUGGGAAAGGAUGUGAGAUUUCUAAGACAACUAGGAUGUUGGCUUAGAAGCAGCCAUUCAUUAAAAGAGUGCGUAAUAGCUCACUAGUCGAGAGAUCUUGCGCCGAAAAUGUAACGGGGCUAAACUUACCACCGAAGCUACGGGCUUGAACUUAGUUCAAGCGGUAGGAGAGCGUCGUAACCGGGCUGAAGUCGUACCGUAAGGAGCGGUGGACUGGUUACGAGUGAGAAUGUUGGCAUCAGUAGCGAGAUGUGGGUGAGAAUCCCACAGGCCGAAAACCUAAGGUUUCCUCAGGAAGGUUCGUCCGCUGAGGGUUAGUCGGGACCUAAGCCGAGGCCGAAAGGCGUAGGUGAUGGACAACUGGUUGAUAUUCCAGUACCACUACCAUCGUUAUUAUCGAUGGCGUGACGCAGGAGGAUAGUGUGUGCUAGCUAUUGGAUGCUAGUCUAAGCGUUUAGGCAGUGAGAGUAGGCAAAUCCGCUCUCAUAAUGCUGAGGCGUGAUGGGGAAGGUUCCACGGAACCGAAGUACAUGAUUCCACGCUGCCAAGAAAAGCGUCUAGAGAGAGAAGUAGUGCCCGUACCGCAAACCGACACAGGUAGGUGAGGAGAGAAUCCUAAGGCCGGCGGAAGAAUUACAGUUAAGGAACUCGGCAAAUUGACCCCGUAAGUUCGCGAGAAGGGGUGCCUACGAGAGUAGGCCGCAGAGAAUAGGCCCAAGCAACUGUUUAGCAAAAACACAGGUCUCUGCUAAAGCGUAAGCUGAUGUAUAGGGGCUGACGCCUGCCCGGUGCUGGAAGGUUAAGGGGAACACUUAGCGCAAGCGAAGGU
rnacentral:rRNA from 2 species